rnacentral:rRNA from 1 species
GGAGGAAAAGAAACCAACAGGGAUUGCCUCAGUAACGGCGAGUGAAGCGGCAAAAGCUCAAAUUUGAAAUCUAGUACCUUCGGUGCUCGAGUUGUAAUUUGAAGAUGGCGACUUUGGGAGUGGCCUUUAUCUAUGUUCCUUGGAACAGGACGUCACAGAGGGUGAGAAUCCCGUCUGAUGAGGUGAUCCACUCCUUUGUAAAGUGCUAUCGAAGAGUCGAGUUGUUUGGGAAUGCAGCUCUAAGUGGGUGGUAAAUUCCAUCUAAAGCUAAAUAUUGGCGAGAGACCGAUAGCGAACAAGUACAGUGAUGGAAAGAUGAAAAGAACUUUGAAAAGAGAGUGAAAAAGUACGUGAAAUUGUUGAAAGGGAAGGGUAUUAGAUCAGACUUGGCGUUGUGUGAUUAUCUUCCCCUUGUGGGUUGUGCACUCGUGCUUCGCUGGGCCAGCAUCGAUUCGUGUGGCAGGAUAAUAGCAUUGGAACGUGGCUGCGCUUCUGUGUAGUGUUAUAGCCUUUGUUGAUACUGCCUAUGUGGAUCGAGGACUGCGUCUUUUUGACUAGGAUGCUGGCGUAAUGAUCUAAUAUCGCCCGUCUUG